AGAGUUUGAUCAUGGCUCAGGAUGAACGCUGGCGGCGUGCUUAACACAUGCAAGUCGAACGAACCUUCGGGUUAGUGGCGGACGGGUGAGUAACGCGUGAGAAUCUGCCCUCAGGAGGGGGAUAACGGUUGGAAACGACCGCUAAUACCCCAUAUGCCGCGAGGUGAAAUGAAUUUCGCCUGAGGAUGAGCUCGCGUCUGAUUAGCUAGUUGGUGGGGUAAGAGCCUACCAAGGCAUCGAUCAGUAGCUGGUCUGAGAGGAUGAUCAGCCACACUGGGACUGAGACACGGCCCAGACUCCUACGGGAGGCAGCAGUGGGGAAUUUUCCGCAAUGGGCGAAAGCCUGACGGAGCAACGCCGCGUGAGGGAUGAAGGCCUCUGGGCUGUAAACCUCUUUUAUCAAGGAAGAAGAUCUGACGGUACUUGAUGAAUAAGCCACGGCUAAUUCCGUGCCAGCAGCCGCGGUAAUACGGGAGUGGCAAGCGUUAUCCGGAAUUAUUGGGCGUAAAGCGUCCGCAGGCGGUCUUGUAAGUCUGUUGUUAAAGCGUGGAGCUUAACUCCAUUUCAGCAAUGGAAACUGCAAGACUAGAGUGUGGUAGGGGCAGAGGGAAUUCCCGGUGUAGCGGUGAAAUGCGUAGAUAUCGGGAAGAACACCAGUGGCGAAGGCGCUCUGCUGGGCCAUAACUGACGCUCAUGGACGAAAGCCAGGGGAGCGAAAGGGAUUAGAUACCCCUGUAGUCCUGGCCGUAAACGAUGAACACUAGGUGUCGGGGGAAUCGACCCCCUCGGUGUCGUAGCCAACGCGUUAAGUGUUCCGCCUGGGGAGUACGCACGCAAGUGUGAAACUCAAAGGAAUUGACGGGGGCCCGCACAAGCGGUGGAGUAUGUGGUUUAAUUCGAUGCAACGCGAAGAACCUUACCAGGGUUUGACAUCCUGCGAAUCUUUUGGAAACGAGAGAGUGCCUUCGGGAACGCAGUGACAGGUGGUGCAUGGCUGUCGUCAGCUCGUGUCGUGAGAUGUUGGGUUAAGUCCCGCAACGAGCGCAACCCACGUCGUUAGUUGCCAGCAUUUAGUUGGGCACUCUAGCGAGACCGCCGGUGAUAAACCGGAGGAAGGUGUGGAUGACGUCAAGUCAUCAUGCCCCUUACAUCCUGGGCUACACACGUACUACAAUGCUACGGACAAAGGGCAGCAAACUCGCGAGAGCUAGCAAAUCCCAUAAACCGUGGCUCAGUUCAGAUCGUAGGCUGCAACUCGCCUACGUGAAGGAGGAAUCGCUAGUAAUCGCAGGUCAGCAUACUGCGGUGAAUACGUUCCCGGGCCUUGUACACACCGCCCGUCACACCAUGGAAGUUGGCCACGCCCGAAGCCGUUACUCCAACCCUUGUGGAGGAGGACGUCGAAGGUGGGGCUGAUGACUGGGGUGAAGUCGUAACAAGGUAACC
rnacentral:rRNA from 1 species